AAAUAAAUUUGAUUUGAUUUGAUUUGUUUAUAGGUUAAGGCUUAACAAGGUCGUUGAGUGCCAUGUUUUAAAGGAUUCUGUGGCAUGUUCUAAGUCUCUGGUGAAGAAUGUCCACCGUAAAAGAGAAGCCAUCAUAAAAGCUCUUUGUCUGCACCUGAAUGAUGAUGAUGGAUUUCUUAUCAAGGAGUACAGGGACAUUCAUGGUGAAGACAUAUUGAGAGACCAGCACAGCACUGAAAUGGACAUUUAUGUCAUCAGAAGAGGGUGGAGCUCUUGGAGAAUAUGAAAAGGUUGACGCUGACGGAAACAUUAUUGUAGGAAACAUCAAAUCAGUUGCACCAGACUGCAGUAAUGCUUGGAGUAAUCUAUGUACUGAAUAUGGCUCAUCACAAUGGGCGGAAAUGCUGCUAUGAAUUUGUACAUUCCUCAUGCCAAAGGAUGGUGCAAAGUUCUCCCCUAAUAUUCUUGGUUUGGAGAACAAAAUCGUGGGAUAGUCAAAGUAGGCUGUCCAUUCUGGAAAUAUAUGGAACUUUUCACACUAGCUUCUGCUUUGAUUGAAAAGCAAUGGGCUUUUGAACAACGCUUAAGUCACGUGAAACAAGAAUGGCUGUCAACAUCUCUUUUAAAAUUCAAUGACAUUUCAAUGAUUUUCUAUACAACAUGUCAAG